AGUGAACGCUGGCGGUAGGCCUAACACAUGCAAGUCGAACGGCAGCACAGUAAGAGCUUGCUCUUACGGGUGGCGAGUGGCGGACGGGUGAGGUAUACAUCGGAAUCUACUUUUUCGUGGGGGAUAACGUAGGGAAACUUACGCUAAUACCGCAUACGAUCUACGGGUGAAAGCAGGGGAUCUUCGGACCUUGCGCGAUUGAAUGAGCCGAUGUCGGAUUAGCUAGUUGGCGGGGUAAAGGCCCACCAAGGCGACGAUCCGUAGCUGGUCUGAGAGGAUGAUCAGCCACACUGGAACUGAGACACGGUCCAGACUCCUACGGGAGGCAGCAGUGGGGAAUAUUGGACAAUGGGCGCAAGCCUGAUCCAGCCAUACCGCGUGGGUGAAGAAGGCCUUCGGGUUGUAAAGCCCUUUUGUUGGGAAAGAAAAGCAGCAGGUUAAUACCCCGCUGUUCUGACGGUACCCAAAGAAUAAGCACCGGCUAACUUCGUG
rnacentral:rRNA from 1 species